CCUACGGGAGGCAGCAGUGGGGGAUAUUGCACAAUGGGGGAAACCCUGAUGCAGCGACGCCGCGUGAGUGAAGAAGGAUUUCGGUAUGUAAAGCUCUAUCAGCAGGGAAGAAAAUGACAGUACCGGACCAAGAAGCCCCGGCUAACUACGUGCCAGCAGCCGCGGUAAUACGUAGGGGGCAAGCGUUAUCCGGAUUUACUGGGGGUAAAGGGGGGGUAGACGGGUAUGUAAGUCUGGAGUGAAAGCCCGGGGCCCAACCCCGGGAGUGCUUUGGAAACUGUGUAACUGGAGUACAGGAGGGGCAGGCGGAAUUCGUGGUGUAGCGGUGAAAUGCGUAGAUAUCAGGAGGAACACCGGCGGCGAAGGCGGCCUGCUGGACUGAAACUGACGUUGAGGCUCGAAAGCGUGGGGAGCGAACAGGAUUAGAUACCCCUGUAGUC
rnacentral:rRNA from 1 species